ensembl:lncRNA
GCACUUCAUUAGGUUUGGAGUGAUGACAGCUUAUUUCUAUUUUAACCAUCUUGAGUUCUAAUCUAAAGAUAUCUAAAGUAUCAGAUCUGAUGAUCAGUGUGUUUGUUUCUCGGCCAAAGGUCCUGAAACCAAAGGCAGUCCUCUUCAGGCACAGCUACAUGACCUCUGUGCUGGCAGUGAGGCAGAGAGGCUGGAUGGUUUUCUUCAUUGGGACAGGAGACGGGCAGCUCAUUAAGCAAGAUCUUCCAAAUACAAACACCACUCUUCAAAUCAACUCCAGGCCUUUUAUCUACUCAACUGAUCAUCACAUGCUGUCUGUGGACAGGAAGUAUCACGCUGCCUGUCCCACGGUGCUCUACAGGACCAGUGAUGACCGCAAAGUGAUUCCCAAAUUACAUCUGGAUCCAGUGGAUCGUAAACAUGUGUAUGUGCCAUUUAGAAACCAGAUGAAGCGAGUUCCUGUGUCAAAGUGCAGCACGUACACAAAUGUGCAGGAGUGUUGGUCUGCACAGGAUGGUGUGGCUCUAAAAGCAGCUGCACAUUUGAAGAUGACUGCACAGAUUCAGACUGGCUGUCCAUUCCUGAUGAGUCCCAACACAAAAUGAUUUCCCACAAAGUUGAAAAGGACACAAAUGGACAGGUUUUACUAAAAAUGCACACACACCUGAUCGUGGGCCAAGAAGUGUCGUCUAACUUUAUCUGUCAGUUCGCUGCAAGGUCUGGCUCAAUUUGUGCUCCGAAUAACCCUCCUCCACAGUUCCCACAAUGCACCUGCAUCCUGUCUGAUCGUACACUUCCUGCUGAUGGGCAGUGACUUUUCAUAAAUUAAAUACUUUGCAGUCAGACCUACUUACUGAUUUGCAACAUCUCCCAACCAGCAAAAUAGAAACAUUACAGAGCUGACUCUGACAGAUGAAUACUCUUUACUAGUUGACAAAUCUGAGCUGUUCGUUAUUAUAAACUGUGCAA